AGAGUUUGAUCCUGGCUCAGAUUGAACGCUGGCGGCGUGCUUAACACAUGCAAGUCGAACGAUGAACCGGAGCUUGUUCUGGGGAUUAGUGGCGAACGGGUGAGUAACACGUGGGCAACCUGCCCCAGACAUCGGGAUAACCACUCGAAAGAGUGGCUAAUACCGAAUACGACCACUUUGGGCAUCCAACGGUGGUGGAAAGGAUUCUGGUCUGGGAUGGGCUCGCGGCCUAUCAGCUUGUUGGUGGGGUAAUGGCCUACCAAGGCUUCGACGGGUAGCCGGCCUGAGAGGGUGACCGGCCACACUGGGACUGAGACACGGCCCAGACUCCUACGGGAGGCAGCAGUGGGGAAUAUUGGACAAUGGGCGGAAGCCUGAUCCAGCAACGCCGCGUGAGGGAUGACGGCCUUCGGGUUGUAAACCUCUUUCAGUACCGACGAAGCGCCGAUGAUGGUGGUGACGGUAGGUACAGAAGAAGCACCGGCCAACUACGUG
rnacentral:rRNA from 1 species